UGGUAGCUGGCAUUAAGUGCUCCGUAACUGAGGCCCGAGAUCAUGUUCUUCACCAGGGUGGGGCUCCUGGAAGACAGAGAAGGCUGUGUUGGGUUCAUUCAUUCACUUGCUCCUCCUUCACGCCCUCAGCCUUACUAGGCCCUGCUCUGUGCCAGGGCCCAUUCCAUUCAUGGUCCUAGGAGGCUGGAGCAGGGUCAGUGCUGUCUGCCAAGUCCCUGUGCACUCCAUCUUACUCAGCCCUCACGUUGACAGGGCACAGCACAUAUGGACAGCCCCCUCCACGCGUCCAGCGCUGGGGCUCUCAGGGGCUCUGGAGCAGGUGCAGUGUCUCGGAGCUGGCAAGUGGGAACGGGGAUCCCUCCUCAUGCCUGUCUUCCAUCACGCUACUUCACAUCUGCUGUCUAGAUGUUCCAGGGUUCACCGGGUCCAAGCUAGAGCCCCAAGAGUCCUGUAUCUGUAACAUCCACACCAUCUUGCCAUCCCGAAUUUUGGGACAUCUAACAGCUGCGCAUUCAGCAGGUCCUUGUGUGCUCUGCACCAGAGACUUUUGUGCACAGGAAGACAAUCUAAGAGAGGUGAAGGAACUGGCCCAAGGUCACACAGCCAGUGAGAAGCAGAGGUGCACCGGAACCCAGGUCUUCUGACCAAGUUGCAGGCCUCUGGACAAGCAGCACAGGCAAAGAAGGGCCGCGCGUCAGGAGCACAUGGGGUGGGUAAGAGACCCCUGGAAGCCAAUGGGAGGUUUCCGCCCUCUCCCAACUUCCUCAGUUUCCAAUGAAAAUGCUGCUUGCUACAGCAGAACAUAAAAGGUGGGAGUUCAGACACCCAGCUCUGCCAGGAAUCUGCUGUGUGACCUCCCCCCCAGCCCCUUGCCCUCUCUGGGUCUCUUCUCCCUAUAAAACAAAGAGGUGGGACCUGGGGACCUCAGAGAUGAGCUCAUCCUGUGAGGAGACAGGGGAGUAUGGCUCUGGGGCUGGCAGCCACCUCACCAACAGCCAUACUACCUGGCAUCCACCCGUGUUCCAGCUCUGGCCAUGGCUACCCUCAGUCUCUGUGUCUCUCUGGUGGCAGGCCCCCCCUCCCCCCAGCUCCUUCCCUCAUUUAGACAUAGGGACAGAAUAAGACAUAAACGUCCACCUGUCACUCUCCUGGGUUCUUGCAUCCCUUUUCUCCGCACCCCACCUCCGAAGUGGGAAGGACGGGGGUACACAGGGGUGUCCUGGUGAAAAAUGGGGUGGGUGGCCCAGUCCAUGCCCCAGGUGAGUAACCCUGCUCAGGGCUGAGUCCACAUACCCUGUCAUCUUUGGCGGCCUCCGCUUCUGAUACUCUCGUUCGUCCACAGUCCACACGGCGCCCUUGACGUUCUCCACACGCACGAAGCACUUGUGCAGGCUGAGAUUGUGCCGCACAGCAUUCUGGGGGUGGUGACAAGGUGCAUGCUCUGAGCAGGUUUCUCCACCCUCUCCGGGCUCGGGUGGGUGCAAGGGGCAAAGCACCUGUCCCACCUGUCCCACCUGGUCCCACUCCCCAGGCCCAGGGAGGCUGGGGCUGUCUCAGUGAGGAGUCCCAGCUGGGGUUGGGGCUGGCAGGCAGGCCUCUCUCCUGCCCACCACCCAGGGACUGCAGGGUCUGUCAGGGUCUUCAUUGCCACAACCCAUUUUAUGAUCCAGUCCCCUUCUCCCUGCCAUAUUUUGGAAAACUCUGCCUACCAACUGAACACCACCUAGGUAGUAAUAAUUUGGUUCCCCCGGCAGCACUGAUCAGACACAUGUUGCUGUCACUUGGGGGCUCCUGGUCGCCAUGAGCCUGCACUUGGGCCCUGGCACAUCAGUGAGCCUGGGACCUGUUAUCUCAGGUGCAUGCAAAAUUUCUAUGAGGCUUUGGAAGUUCUGGAAAUAAAUCAGGAACUCUCACUGCAAGCCUCUCCAGCCUCUAGGAGUAUGGGAGCCAUGGCUUUGAGAAGAGACAGCUUAAGAGCAUGAGGUAGACAGCAGGCCUCUCAUACAUACUUGUUGAAAUACACUGGGAGAAAGGAGAGCAUGGAUUUAGUAGCUGUGAGGCAGGAAGAGGAAAGAAGAGAGAAGUCACCUUGUCGCUCCCACCUCCUUCUGGUGGUGACUUUAGGAAUUGAGGCCAUCUGAAUUGUAGGACACUUGGGCGGGUUGGGGGGAGCUUGGCCCCAUUCCCUCCAGGGGGCCUAGAUGAGGGCCCUGGCCCACCAACUCCUGCCAAGUCCCUCAGUCCUGUCCCUGUACUCUCCUCUCUCAGCUUCAGCCCCACCCCCCACCCCCGCCAUUCCUGUCCCUGUUAC